ACUACAAACUACAUACGGAUGUAUAUAGACAUAUUUUAGAGUGUAGAUUCACUCAUUUUACUUCGUAUGUAGUCCAUAGUGGAAUCUCUAAGAAGGCAUAUAUUUAGGAACAGAGGGUGUACCAGUUGUACCUUUUCGGAAAAGCUUUUCUUAAGAUGUAAAAUACAAAAAAGCACAUCGUGCUAAUUUAUUGGUAUUUUCUUAGAGCAACCAAUUGGUAUUUUGUGACUUUCUUUCCUGGAUAGUAAUCAGUUAUACUAUUUCAUACCUGUUAGAAGGUAUAUAUGAGACAGAGUAGAAUCAAAUAUAUAUGGGAUAGACACUAGAAAACUGCAAGGCGUCGUAUGUUGUUUGUUCGAAAAAUCCUUGGAAUGCCUUGACUUUGGCCUCACACACGCCGAGAUGUGAACCUGAUGCCUGAUUAUUAUCGUUCCUUCAUUGUAUGAGAGAUGUUCUUGCACAUGCUCUUUUCUCUAAGAAGGCAUAUUUCCUUGCUUGACGAAGGUUGCAUCUCUACAUGGAAGGUUUGUAUGCAUAUCUUGUCACGUAUAUUUUUUCAUGAAAACAUGAGGUGGGCAGUAGGCAUCAAUCUGUUGUAGGUUCAGAGUUGACAGUGAUAAAGGAUAUUCCAAGUAUUUCCACUAUUGCAAGAUAACAACUUUGAUCACUUAUGAUAAGAUGCUUUGGUGUUAAGUUUCUAUUUUUUUAUGGACCAAGAAGAUGAAUUAUUUCGGCAACAUCAAUUGCAUUUGUACUAUCAACAAAAGACUUGUUGCUUGGACAGUUUUACAUUUAGAGCAACGGACCCGCUGUGGUAGUAGUAGUGAGGUGGAUAUAUCUGCAAGGACAUGAGACAUGUAGAACCAUUGAAAUAUUUAUAUCCACUACAUAAAAGGAUGUACACAUAAGCUCGGUAUGUGCUCGGAGAAGGUGCGGUGUUGCGAUGAACAAAAUGUUGUGUCGUGGUGGUGGUCGCCCUCGGCUACGAUGAAGUGUACUCCUUGGAGGAGCGGCCGGUGACGCCGUGGAAGGGAGAGGAGUGGCCGAUGACGCCGUGGAGAGGAGGGAACACGGAGGUGUGAGAGCAAGGUGCGUGCUAAAUGAUGUGGCAUCGAAGGGAGGCAACAAUGAGAAGCCGUGGUGGGCAGAGCAGCCGCGGAAUGAGUUGUGGGUGUGAGCAUUGUGUUGUGCGAUGAGAGUGAUAAAUAGAUUUUUGUAAGAACAAAAGAAAAGGAGUGGUCGUUUGCCUUCUUA